UACGAAGGGGGCUAGCGUUGCUCGGAAUCACUGGGCGUAAAGCGCACGUAGGCGGACUCUUAAGUCGGUGGUGAAAUCCUGGAGCUCAACUCCAGAACUGCCUUCGAUACUGGGAGUCUCGAGUCCGGGAGAGGUGAGUGGAACUGCGAGUGUAGAGGUGAAAUUCGUAGAUAUUCGCAAGAACACCAGUGGCGAAGGCGGUUCUCUGGGCCUUACCUGACGCUGAGGAGCGAAAGCGUGGGGAGCGAACAGG
rnacentral:rRNA from 1 species